rnacentral:antisense_RNA from 1 species
AGAAGCUGCGAAGAUGGCGGAGUAAGGCGUGCCGCUGUAAACUGGCCUCUGGGCCGGGGGCGAGCAGCCCCCGGGAGGCCGAGUGCAUCUGUUGGACCGUGCGAGGAGAAGAAAAAAAAGAUCGGCCAGAGGAGAGGAACUAACCGAACAUUCUUCCUCCCUACCUUAUAGAGGGGAGUGGUCAUCUACACUAAAGCAAAGUGUCAGGCGCGUCCGUGCCAAGAGACCACCAAACAGGCUUUGUGUUCCUUAUCACAGGAAGAAAAUUUUCCUUGACCUUUAGGUGCUUUUAUAUUCAUCUCAAAAACAAAAUUCUGAACUCAGGACUUGGCAAGAGGUGCAAGCGAAGAUGCAGUGCUACCUUAUUUUUCAUUUUUAUUUUUUGGAGACAGAGUCUCACUCUGUUGCCCAAGCUGAGUGCAGUGGUGCAAUCAUGGCUCACUGCAACCUCAACCUCCAGGGCUCAAGCGAUCCUCCUGCUUCAGCCUCCUCCAAAGUAGCUGGGACCACAAGAGGGCACCACCACGCCCUGCUAAUUUUUUAUUUUUUGUAGAGUGGGGUCUUGAUAUGUUGCCCAGGCUGGUCUCCAAUUCCUGGGCUCAAGGGAUCCCCCUGCCUCAGCCUCCCCAAAGUGCUGGGAUUACAGGUGUGAGCUGCUGCACCUGGCUCAGUGCUACUUUAAAACACAAAUGUGGCCGGGCCCAGUGGCUCACGCCUGUAAUCCCAAUACUUUGGGAGGCUGAGGCGAGUGGAUCACUUGAGGUGAGGAGUUUGAACCCAGCCUGGCCAACAUGGUGAAACCCCGUUUCUACUAAAAAUAC